AGAGUUUGAUCCUGGCUCAGAACGAACGCUGGCGGCGUGCUUAACACAUGCAAGUCGAACGAGAAGUACGUAGCAAUACGUAUUGUAAAGUGGCGCACGGGUGAGUAACACGUGGGUAAUCUGCCCUUGAGUUUGGGAUAACCCCGCGAAAGCGGGGCUAAUACCGAAUAAGACCACGGGGGCCAAAGUCCCUGAGGUAAAAGGUGGCCUCUAUUUAUAAGCUACCACUUAAGGAUGAGCCCGCGGCCCAUUAGCUAGUUGGCAGGGUAACGGCCUACCAAGGCAAUGAUGGGUAGCUGGUCUGAGAGGACGAUCAGCCACACUGGAACUGAGACACGGUCCAGACUCCUACGGGAGGCAGCAGUGGGGAAUAUUGCGCAAUGGGCGAAAGCCUGACGCAGCAACGCCGCGUGGGGGAUGAAGGUUUUCGGAUUGUAAACCCCUUUCGAUCGGAACGAAUCUCCUCCUGGUAAAUAAUCAGGAGGAUCGACGGUACCGGGAGAAGAAGCCACGGCUAACUCUGUGCCAGCAGCCGCGGUAAGACAGAGGUGGCAAGCGUUGUUCGGAUUUAUUGGGCGUAAAGCGAACGCAGGCGGUUUGGUAAGUCAGAGGUGAAAGACCACAGCUUAACUGUGGUAUUGCCUUUGAUACUGCCUUUCUUGAGUGGAGUAGGGGGAAGCGGAAUUCCGAGUGUAGAGGUGAAAUUCGUAGAUAUUCGGAGGAACACCGGUGGCGAAGGCGGCUUCCUGGACUCUAACUGACGCUCAUGUUCGAAAGCGUGGGUAGCAAACAGGAUUAGA
rnacentral:rRNA from 1 species